UACGGGGGGAGCAAGCGUUGUUCGGAUUUACUGGGCGUAAAGGGCGCGUAGGCGGUCAGCACAAGUCAGUUGUGAAAUCUCCGGGCUUAACUCGGAAAGGUCAACUGAUACUGUGCGACUAGAGUGCAGAAGGGGCAACUGGAAUUCUCGGUGUAGCGGUGAAAUGCGUAGAUAUCGAGAGGACCACCUGCGGCGAAGGCGGGUUGCUGGGCUGACACUGACGCUGAUGCGCGAAAGCCAGGGGAGCGAACGGG
rnacentral:rRNA from 1 species